rnacentral:tRNA from 1 species
CGCGGGGUAGAGCAGUUGGUAGUUCGCCAGGCCCAUAACCUGGAAGUCACCGGUUCAAGUCCGGUCCCCGCUA